AGAGUUUGAUCCUGGCUCAGGAUGAACGCUGGCGGCGUGCCUAAUACAUGCAAGUCGAGCGAACGGACGAGAAGCUUGCUUCUCUGAUGUUAGCGGCGGACGGGUGAGUAACACGUGGAUAACCUACCUAUAAGACUGGGAUAACUUCGGGAAACCGGAGCUAAUACCGGAUAAUAUUUUGAACCGCAUGGUUCAAAAGUGAAAGACGGUCUUGCUGUCACUUAUAGAUGGAUCCGCGCUGCAUUAGCUAGUUGGUAAGGUAACGGCUUACCAAGGCAACGAUGCAUAGCCGACCUGAGAGGGUGAUCGGCCACACUGGAACUGAGACACGGUCCAGACUCCUACGGGAGGCAGCAGUAGGGAAUCUUCCGCAAUGGGCGAAAGCCUGACGGAGCAACGCCGCGUGAGUGAUGAAGGUCUUCGGAUCGUAAAACUCUGUUAUUAGGGAAGAACAUAUGUGUAAGUAACUGUGCACAUCUUGACGGUACCUAAUCAGAAAGCCACGGCUAACUACGUGCCAGCAGCCGCGGUAAUACGUAGGUGGCAAGCGUUAUCCGGAAUUAUUGGGCGUAAAGCGCGCGUAGGCGGUUUUUUAAGUCUGAUGUGAAAGCCCACGGCUCAACCGUGGAGGGUCAUUGGAAACUGGAAAACUUGAGUGCAGAAGAGGAAAGUGGAAUUCCAUGUGUAGCGGUGAAAUGCGCAGAGAUAUGGAGGAACACCAGUGGCGAAGGCGACUUUCUGGUCUGUAACUGACGCUGAUGUGCGAAAGCGUGGGGAUCAAACAGGAUUAGAUACCCUGGUAGUCCACGCCGUAAACGAUGAGUGCUAAGUGUUAGGGGGUUUCCGCCCCUUAGUGCUGCAGCUAACGCAUUAAGCACUCCGCCUGGGGAGUACGACCGCAAGGUUGAAACUCAAAGGAAUUGACGGGGACCCGCACAAGCGGUGGAGCAUGUGGUUUAAUUCGAAGCAACGCGAAGAACCUUACCAAAUCUUGACAUCCUUUGACAACUCUAGAGAUAGAGCNNNUUCCCCUUCGGGGGACAAAGUGACAGGUGGUGCAUGGUUGUCGUCAGCUCGUGUCGUGAGAUGUUGGGUUAAGUCCCGCAACGAGCGCAACCCUUAAGCUUAGUUGCCAUCAUUAAGUUGGGCACUCUAAGUUGACUGCCGGUGACAAACCGGAGGAAGGUGGGGAUGACGUCAAAUCAUCAUGCCCCUUAUGAUUUGGGCUACACACGUGCUACAAUGGACAAUACAAAGGGCAGCGAAACCGCGAGGUCAAGCAAAUCCCAUAAAGUUGUUCUCAGUUCGGAUUGUAGUCUGCAACUCGACUACAUGAAGCUGGAAUCGCUAGUAAUCGUAGAUCAGCAUGCUACGGUGAAUACGUUCCCGGGUCUUGUACACACCGCCCGUCACACCACGAGAGUUUGUAACACCCGAAGCCGGUGGAGUAACCUUUUAGGAGCUAGCCGUCGAAGGUGGGACAAAUGAUUGGGGUGAAGUCGUAACAAGGUAGCCGUAUCGGAAGGUGCGGCUGGAUCACCU
rnacentral:rRNA from 1 species